GAUGAACGCUGGCGGCGUGCCUAAUACAUGCAAGUCGAGCGAACAGAUGAGGAGCUUGCUCCCCUGACGUUAGCGGCGGACGGGUGAGUAACACGUGGAUAACCUACCUAUAAGACUGGGAUAACUUCGGGAAACCGGAGCUAAUACCGGAUAAUAUAUUGAACCGCAUGGUUCAAUAGUGAAAGACGGUUUUGCUGUCACUUAUAGAUGGAUCCGCGCCGCAUUAGCUAGUUGGUAAGGUAACGGCUUACCAAGGCAACGAUGCGUAGCCGACCUGAGAGGGUGAUCGGCCACACUGGAACUGGGACACGGUCCAGACUCCUACGGGAGGCAGCAGGAGGGAAUCUUCCGCAAUGGGCGAAAGCCUGACGGAGCAACGCCGCGUGAGUGAUGAAGGUCUUCGGAUCGUAAAACUCUGUAUUAGGGAAGAACAAAUGUGUAAGUAACUAUGCACGUCUUGACGGUACCUAAUCAGAAAGCCACGGCUAACUACGUG
rnacentral:rRNA from 1 species